rnacentral:lncRNA from 1 species
CCCCUGACUCAGCCUCGGCUUCCCGGAGAGACCCGGUCGCUCACCCCGCUGCCCCGCCCCGGCCUCAUUGUUCUGUAAUGGGGAGAGUGGGUUAACAUCUUUCUUUCCAGAGUCACAUGAAAUAGGGUGUUUGGACAUAAUCGCAGAUAAAGCCUUCUUUGAACUCCUUUGAUCGUUCUGGGGAAACGCUUCUGGAACAUAGAUGCGUGUGUGUGCAUACCACACAGAUGAAGAGAAAUGGUCCCAGGAUACCUUGGACCUUGGACCAACAUCAUCUACUUGGAUGAGCCUGGGAAGAUCUUGUCUUUUCUGAGUACAAACUCACUUUAAAGAGGAAGCACUUUUCAAACUGAUGGCUAGUUUUAUUAGCUAACCUGGGACUUAGGCACAGAGACCUUGGGAGUGUGACGUGUUGAGCACAUGGCACAGCUGAGAGUGCCGUCACCCACGAUGGACACACUGGGCUGAACACCUCUGGAAAAAAAAGACAACUUCAUCUGUCUCAUCAUGGUUAGUGCCUUUCAAAAUGGAUCCUUAACUCCUUCCAUAGAUGCUAGAUAUUUAAUUUUAAUGUUUUGUUUUAUGAAAUAAAUUUAGAACUAAAAGAAAUAUACAGCCCAGGCAUCCAUAUUUAAUAGAACUAUUACACAUUACUUCAAGUUUCUCUUCAUCUUAUUACCUUAUUAAAAGCAGGCAGGCAGGAGAGAUCUGUGGGAAGGCUCUGAAUCCCUUGUGAACCAUUUUUAAUUAUCUUUAAUAAAAGAAUCAGGUCCUGUCAUUUGUCAAGGAGACAUCUGCAGUAGUAAAACCUGUGUUUACAAUAACCCACUUUUAUUAGUCAUGAUUAAUAAUAACAUUUUGUGUACAUUUGUUCUCACAAGGCAGUUUCAUGUGAAUGGAAAGGUUAAUUAAUGCAUUUCAGCACUCAUUUUGCUAGUCAUCUGGAAAUACAGCUUCCUGAAGAUUUGUACUUCAGAGAAGCCACACAUUAUGCUAUAAAACUGUAACAAAAAUAUUUUAGGUUUUUUCUCAUUUGUAAUGUUGACCUUGAGACUAAAAUGU